rnacentral:rRNA from 1 species
UACGGAGGGGGCAAGCGUUAUUCGGAAUCAUUGGGCGUAAAGGGCGCGUAGGCGGCUUCAUAAGUCUUGGGUGAAAGCCCUCGGCUCAACCGAGGAAUUGCCUUGGAUACUGUGAAGCUCGAGGCUGGAAGAGGGCAGUGGAAUUCCCAGUGUAGAGGUGAAAUUCGUAGAUAUUGGGAAGAACACCGGUGGCGAAGGCGGCGACCUGGUCCUUGACUGACGCUGAGGCGCGAAAGCGUGGGGAGCAAACAGG